CAGAAACUGAGAAAUGCAAGUGAUUGUCAUUUUCGUAGCAGUGGCACUUUUUGCUGGCAGCAUUAGAGGGGAGUCCUGCCAUGAUAAAUCACGAAACUGUCAAAAAAAUCAAUCAUUAAAAAUGGCAUAGUAUGGUCAGUACAAAACUGUGCCCAGACAUGCGGAUACUGCAACCACACUGGUAUGAUAUCUGACUGGGAGGACUUACACGA